CAAAUUUCUGCCCUAUCAACUUUCGAUGGUAGGAUAGUGGCCUACCAUGGUUUCAACGGGUAACGGGGAAUUAGGGUUCUAUUCCGGAGAGGGAGCCUGAGAAACGGCUACCACAUCCAAGGAAGGCAGCAGGCGCGCAAAAUUACCCAAUCCCGACACGGGGAGGUAGUGACAAUAAAUACUGAUAUAGGGCUCUUUUGGGUCUUGUAAUUGGAAUGAGUACAAUUUAAAUCCCUUAACGAGGAACCAAUUGGAGGGCAAAGUCUGGUGCCAGCAGCCGCGGUAAUUCCAGCUCCAAUAGCGUAUAUUAAAGUUGUUGCAGUUAAAAAAGCUCGUUAGUUGGAACCUUGGGGCCUUGGC
rnacentral:rRNA from 1 species